AACCACCUACUACUUGUUUCUCAGUACUGGUUUAUCAUUGUCAUUAGGAAAAUAUAAGAAAAUAAUUUAGAAUGCAAUGGUCUCUGUUCAGCACAGCAAUUAAUUUCUUCUGUAUGUCACUAUUCCCUCUAUAUUAUAUACAUGUUUCACACCCUUUGUUUUCAAUAGACAGAGCCAGAAUUUAAUUCAUAGUUCAGAGCAGAUGUUGAUGGAAGUUUUGAAAAGGGUUCAUAUUGACAGACAAAAUGGAUCUUUGUGGUUGUGUACAUAACAGCUUUCUUUCCUUCUUAUCUUUAUUAGGGCUGUGACAGUGACCGCGUUUACAUGCACCCUAAUAAUGCGAUUAUAAUGGGAUUUUGUCAAUACUGCGAUUAUACUUUACCUCAUGUAAACGCAAUAAUUCGAUAAAAAUAAUGCGAUUAAGCUCAUAAUCGCAAUAAGUAAAGUCGCAUUAAAAGAGGUGGCGUACGCCGUUUAUAAUCGCAGUAUGCGUCCAUGUAAACGCUUUAAUCGCAUUUAUACCGCAGUAAUUAAGUGCACGUGUGUUUUAGUCACGCACCUUAAGCACAAAUUCGCUUUAAUCUUGACAUUAGGAAGUUUUACAUGAACUCUGCCAACACGACUCGGUGUCAGCAGUCUGCCUUCAUUCAGAAACAGCUCAAAUAACACGACAGCAGUGUAUAAAACCUUUAAAUGACAUUAUAACGAUAAUUAUAACGAUAAAUAUAUUAGUGACCACAUCAUAAUGAUAACUUCAUGCUAAUUCGAUAAAACGAUCGCGGCAUUACCUAAUAUUGGAUAUUUCUUGUAAUAAAAACUUUUUUUGCAAUUGUUUACAUGUCACUGAAUAUGUACAUAUGCGGUUCUUGUUGCAUUUACACAGCGGGAAACCAGCAGAUGUCCUCAACUGAAUGAAUGUAGUAGUUUGUGUAAUAAUAUCAUACCUUUUGGCGUAGUCAGUGUGGUAGAAAAAUUUCACAGCAUCAGCGCUGGAUACCUGAGGUAAUUUUAUGUUAUAAACCUCAGCAAUGAAUGAGCUUUCUGCUGCAUUUUAAGUGCGCGUGCACUUCAAGUUCAAAUAGAUUUGAUUGGCUGUCAAUGGUUUAUCGUUCAUCAUGUGCCAAAAUCGCUAUCGUUAUAGUUGUUGUGUGAGCUCUGCUAUUAUCUUUAAUAUAAAACGAUUUUUAAAACUAUAUUUUUAUAUCAUGUGAACGCCCUUUACAGUCAUAUUUAUAUCUUCAUCACGGCACCGGAUAAUGAAAUACAUCUAUAACAACGUGUUUGUCAUUUAACGUAAGUAAAUUAAAACAGUGGACCAUAUAUGUGAGUUCAUCAUUUGUGCUCUGCAUUGAACUUUGUGUGAAUAAUCCGAAAAUAAAAACUGCAUGUAAACCGGAGUGAAGAGGUUAGCUCCAGUCAUGUAAACAUCUUACUGCGAUUAAGACCUUACUCGCAUUAUUGGAAAUAAUCGCAUUUUUGGUGUGCAUGUAAACGUGGUCAGUGACAGUAUUUUACCACCGCGAUGGUAAUGCACCAAUUCACCACUGUGGUGCGGUGGUUAUAGAAUGUGGUUGUGUGAGGGGGGAGGCGGCAAUUUCUUUUUCCGCCGGUGGGUGCUCAUCACAACCUCAAGCUUUACUUCGCAAUGCCAGGUGCUCUAGAGUCUGGAGCGCUCAAAGGCUUUGAAGAGGUGGAAAGUGGCGCAGUCACGUUUUCGUGUGAAUUGUGAAGUUAAAGGCAGAUCACCGUGCAACUUGGUGAAGUCAUGUGUCUUUCCAGAUGGCCAAAUCUGUACCCCUCAAAAAAACUUUAUUAAAUGCCAUGAUAGACAAGAUGAGCCUUAAGAGGAGAUUUGGGAAGAUGCUGUUUCAUAAGUCUUUGCUUUGCCAGAUUAUUUGUGGUUGGGGUGUCUGCCAACGUGAUGCCUUGCUGGUCUGGUUUGAGUUUGAAGUCUCUCACAGACAGUCCAGAAGGUCUGGAGUCCAUCUUAGCUUUCAUUGAUGCUGUCAUCAUUUUUUAAGUGCAUGAGCCAGAAUGGACGGGUGGUGGUGGCCAUAAGAAGACUGUCAACUAAACUAGGGUGACCAUACGUGCCAUUCUUCCCGGACCCGUCCUGUCCAGUCUUUUGGAACUCGUAUUUGUCGACCGCAUACGUCACAGAGGAUUAUUAUUAUUAUUACAGAAAAGCAACCGUUACAUUUUAAGGUAAGAAGAAUGAAUCUACGAUUGUAUAUCUUAUGUUUUUAACUGAAUGGCGUAUGCGGUCAACAAAUACGACUUCCGGAAGACGCACCGAAAUCCUGGACGGGAUGCGUCCGGGAAGAAUGGCACGUAUGGUCACCCUAACUAAACCAACAACAAAAUUCAUAUUUGCAGUUAUAAAUAAAAUGACUUUUAAACCUGAUUUUGUUUUCUUAUUUUAUGAUUUCAUUCUAUAUUUGGAAUAUUCCAUUUUUGCACUACUAACUGGAAACUGUUUAAAAGAAUGUGUUUUUAUUAAAAGACAAAUUUCAAAGGUGAAUCAUAUGCCGGCUGGGAUAUCAAAAUAGCAUUAAAAUGACAUCAACAUCAUAACAUCCUGAUAUCAAAUAGAUGUAGAAUUGACAUCAAAAUGACAUCAGCAGGGGUCAAAAUCUUGACAUCAAAUUGACAUCAACACUUUGACGUCAAAAUGACUUUCAUUUUUGACCUAUUCUGUGACGUAAUUUUGACGUCGAUGUUUGAUGUC